ACACAGAGUCACUUUCUCCCUGCAGCUCUCCCUGCAGCCCUGAGCUAGAUAGAGAAGCCGGCAGCAGGAGUUUCACAUAUAAACUAAUUAAAAGUUUAUAAACCAGAAACUUCACCCAGCGCACGUUACCGGAGGAAUCUGAUCAGAAAUCGGCAAGAAAUGAACAACAUCUGCGGUCCAGACUCCAGGUUCUCCUGACGGGUUCUCUCAGAUCCAUCUGUGAGAACUGACCGACAGAAUCAUCCCAGAGGAGAAGAAAACAUCAGCAGUGAGCAGAUAGUUCUGUUUACAUGGAGAUACAGAGCUAACAUGCUGGCAUGUAGCUGCAUGCUACCGCUAUGAGACGGUGUGUAAACACAGUGAACAUUAGGGUGGAAAAUAGAAGAUGUGAAACAGUAGUCAGUUCAUUAUUUCUGGUAAAAGACACCUGAUAAACGUAUGGAAGUAAUCAGACUAAUGGUAUAUUAGUUACUGUGUUACCAUGACUACAGACCGGUUAACGUUACACUCACCGGAGCGUACCGGAGCUGAAAGACUUUCUCCUGUACCAUGUCAACAUAACUGCAGGUGGGAUGAUUAAACAUGCUGUGAAUAAUUAAUAUUGUCAUCUGUCUACUCAAAUAAAGUUUGACUGUGAAACAGAAA